CCGCGUGUGCUCCGCUUCCAAUCCUCCUCGCGGGGUUGCUGCACCAGAGCCCACACCCGCCCCAACCCUAGCCGCCAAACCUCUCCUUCCUCCCUCGCUUGACACCAUAGGCGCUACACCCCCUCCCCUCCUCCUUCUCGGGCAGAUAGCCGCCGGCCGCCGCAUCCCUUCUCCCCCUUCCUCCUCCUUCCUCCUUCCCGCUGGCUCCCAUCGCCCUCGUCCUCGGACAAGGGGCCUUCGCAGGGAUGGCCAUGUCUUCAAACCAGGGGUAGAGGAGCAGGGGAGGGCCAAGAAGCCAGUGCUGGGAGUGGAGGACCCAGGUGGUGGACGCAUCAUGGGGUUAAGGACAGGCCGAUGAUAGGGAUAAGUAGGAGGAGUGCCAUGGAUCUGCAGGGAAAGGAGGGCGACGCCCUCGGCGGGCGUCCGAGAAGGAAGCCGGCGGGGAGCAUGUCACCGUAGGCGUCAAGGGAGCCAUGGACAAGCCGCUAGGAGGAGAAAGCUCCCAGUUUGUGGAGGAGACUAUGUGACAGGUGUGUUUCUUCCUGUUUUUCUAACCCCUUUUCUCAUCUUUCCAUGACGACCUGCAAAUUUUUCAAGUUUUUCAGGUGGUGUUUUGGAAUCUAGAUUGAUUUGGUACUCUAUGUUGUGUGAUGUGCCCUUGCCAAGAAUAUUUGAUGUGUGUGAUGACACAAGCAAUUGUAGAGGAGUGAACACCAUGCUCGAUUAGUGGACUGCCGCUUGAGAAGAAGCUUGUCAUUUGUCUCUUCGAGCCGCGGCGGAUAGGGGCCUUCGAAGAACUUGGGGUUUGACAUAGCCAUCGAGGAAGUGCAGGAUACAAACCAAGUGUAAUCAAAGAGGAUAUGGAUUCAGUACGGCCAUGAGUGAAGGAAUGUUACUCCAAUUUGGAUCUUGGAGAAUGUUUUCUCAGUGUGGUUCAGGUUAAAUUGUUGUCCUACUGUUCCUGCUGAGCCUCCUAAUGUUCUAUGUCUUCGCUGCGCCUUCUUCCAGCUUCUCUAUUGGUUUUCUCUUCACACCGAUCAGGCAGGGGAGGACGAGGCGAAGGGGGAUGGAGAAGUGGUCGAGCUAGAGGCGUACAGGCAGGGCACCCAGAAGACAGAGCUGUGCAACAAGUGGGAGGGCGGCGCCUGCUCCUACGGGGGCCGGUGCCGGUUCGCGCAUGGCCUGCAGGAUGAUGGUUUCUUAAUUUCGUUGACUAACCAGGGAGUUCAAGGAUGAUGACUGAAAGUUUUGUCAUUACUGGUUAACACUUGGCGACGAUGUGUCCAUCAGAAAUGAUCCGGUUAUCCUCUGUUGUAUUAUAUUUCCUACUUUUUUGUAAAUAUGUAUGGAUGUACAUGCACGCUCUUUCGAUGUCUGAAAAUGACCGUCAUCCCUCAGUGGGCAAAGAUGAUUUUGUUGAACAGUUUCAGUAUAUGUUACAUACCAUAUUCUUUCCAAUGUAGAAGGUAGCAGCUGACUCUGCAUUGCUGUGGUGCUUA